UCCAUGCUAAGGUAAUUUCGUUCACCAGCAUCUAUGAAUUCUCUGCUCGCAUCAAGUUCCGUUAUUUUUGCCCCUAAUUGCGGCUUGUUUACACAUCGAUGAGUGUGAUGUAGCUGAUAGUAAUAGUAUCAUUUCUUGAGAUAGUGACACACACGACUGUUCUAGUUGAUGAAUAGCUUAAGCAUCACAUGUUCUGUUCUAGUUGAUGAAUAGAUUAAGCAUCACAUGCUGUGAGAGGACAUUUGUCUAUAUCCAAAGCAAACUCGUAGCGAGGAAUUGGUACUUUAAAGUAUAAACUACUCCCUCCGUUCCUAAAUAUAAGUCUUUGUAGAGAUUUUAAUGUAUAUAGACAUACUUUAGAGUAUAGAUUCAAUCAUUUUGCUUCGUAUGUAGACCCUUAAUGAAAUCGCUUAAAAGACUUAUAUUUAGGAAUGGAGAGAUAAAUGGGUACACUCCUGAUUUGUGGGAAUUUUCUUGUAAUAUUGCCAAAAGAUGACCGUCUUCCUCAUCACGCGUCUAAAACAAAAUCUAAUAGUUUAAUAGCUACUCCCUCCGUCCCAUAGUAUAAAAGCAUUUUUUAUACUAAUGUAGUGUUAAAAAUGCUCUUAUAUUAUGGGACGGAGAGACCAAACCCCAAGCGGCCACACAUGGGAACCCUGCCCUACUUUUGGCUGUGAGUGCCAGCGGGAUGCACAAGAUCUCUCUUAAUAUUAUCUUUGCUAUUAUUUUAUUGGGUCGUUAGGUGGAUUGGAAUACAAAAUUGGUCAGUGCCAGUAAAGCCCUGUGCAGUGCUGAAUGAUUAAAGAGUUCUUUGCAGCGAUUGCCAGUUGAGAUAUAAAGUGAUGCAGUGCUUCAUUUGGAGAUGGGGAGAGAACUGCAUUUGCUUGUGGAGAUUUAGCUAGCAACAUGGAGAGAGCAGCAAGUAGGCAAAUGCCCUUCCCGGCUGUGGUUGCCACGGUGCUGCUGCAGCUACUAAGUGCAGUGGCGACAGCAGCAGGAUGCAGUACAAGUUGUGGUAACAUCAGCAUCCCCUACCCAUUUGGCAUCGAGCCUGAUUGCUACCAUGACGGCUUUAACCUCACCUGUGACUACUCGUACCGCCCUCCCAAACUGUUCCUUGGCGAUGGCACUGUCGAAGUGCUCGAGAUCUCCAUCCCCAACGGCACGGUGCGCAUUAACAGCACCAAUAUCAUGCCAAUGAGUCAUGAUAUUGACGGUGCAUCCAGGCCCAACACAAGCAGGUACCACACAUGGGGUGGCCUCAGAGAGGGAGGACCAUUCUUCGUCACACCGGAUAGGAAUAAAUUCCUCGUGUUGUCGUGCAACAACAUCCAAGUUAUCCUCAUGGGAGAGGACAACUCCACCAUCAAUGCCUGCGCCACUUACUGCCCAUCCUUGGGGAACUCAGACUCACAGCCUCAGCUUAUCCGGUAUCUACUUCUGCAUGGCGAAUGCUCGGGCCUUGGCUGCUGUGAUGGAGGCAUCCCCAAAGGCUACACUUCCUACCACAUCCAGCUCCAGCCUUCCAAUGACUCGAGCUCCGAUGCUAAAUCGUCAGUAUAUACAGCCGAGGAGGGGUCCUAUAACAUCUCCAAACUCAUGUCUGAACCUCGCGGCGUGGCACUUCCUGCCUUGCUAGACUGGGUGAUCAUCAAUUCUUCAUGCCAAAAGCAAAAGUCUGUUGCUCCUGGAUGCCGCAGCAGCAACAGCUUUUGUCAAAACUACACAAGCUAUGUCUACAAUGGCUAUCAGUGCCGCUGCUCUCCCGGUUAUCGUGGAAACCCUUACAUCCUGGAGGGAUGCCAAGGUACAAGUUAAAUAAAUUUAGCUUUAUUCCCUUGUCAUAGAAGUUAAAAUGUAAAUUAGGGCGAGUACAAUUUAAACUCAGUAGUUAUGUACGUCUGUUGUAGAUUUGGAGGUUUUACUGGUGUUAGUUGGUUCUACAGUUUCGAAAAUAUUAAAUACAGUCCCGCUGAUGAGCAAUAUUUUGACUUCCUUUCUAGCAUAUGGUUUGCUCAUCUUUUGUUCUGUUUUGUGAUUUCACUAGAUAUUGAUGAAUGUGUUCAUAAGGAAGCCCACUCAUGCCAUGGAAUUUGCCAAAAUACGCCUGGAAUAUUUUACUGUCGCUGCCCUGAUGGGACAUAUGGGAACCCCCCCUCUAUAGAAGGGGGAUGUAUCAAGAUCACAAAUUACUCUGCAGGUGACACUAUGUAGCAUUGAUCACCUGUACUAUGAUUUUAUAUAAUCUCGUAUGUGUAUGCAUAGCCUACCCCAACUUGUUUGGGACUGAAAGGCUUGGUUGUUGUUGUUGUCGUAUGUGUAUGCACGAUCAUAUUACUAGUAACAUUUUGCUGGUACAGAUUGGUAACUGUUCAUCGAUUAAUUCAUGUCAAUUAAUAACUAUGAUCCACUCCAAAUAUAUUAUCCAACCGCAUAGCUGGGAUAUUACCUGGAAACAUUUUUUGUCAAGAUGGCAGAUGCAGACAUAUGUGUGAGAAGAAAAAAUUACUGUUCAGGAUAUCGGUAACUGGUACCAUAUCGGUCAGGGGCUGAUAAGGGAUUAAUCGGCGAAUUGGCCAUUUAACUGAAUAUAUCGGUAACCCAUUUAUUGGUAGGUUAACUAGAGCCAUAUCUAUAUAGUCGAGGCUACAUAGCAACAUGCAUUGUAUUGAAUGUCUAAAUAUGCAAUCCUAGGCUACAUGGCAAGUUAGCAACAAAGAAGAGUGUUAUCUUGAUGUUCUGAUGAUGUCUAGAUCUACAUAGAAGAGCAGCAACAACAACACAGCACCACUAAUUGUACAUCACUAUCUAACAUCAAAGGAGAGCAGCACAGCAACAGGACUACUUGUACAUUACUGGCAUAGGAGAGUAAUUUUGGGACAAAAUAUGAUGCCCAGUUAACCGGCCCAGCCGAUAAUUUGGCCUGAUAACCGAUAAAUCGGCUUGUCAGACCGAUUAACUGGGCCUCCCAGUUAAUGGGCCGAAUGGGCCUUUCUCGUAUCGGAGGGGGGUGGAAUAGCAGUUAACUGCAGUUAAUCGGCUGAUAUUUAUAACAAUGGAAAAAAAAUUAUAUGUUCCCUUACUUGUUUACUACAUUCUACUACUGUUGUUUCUGUUGCAAUCUUACAUCCACCCCAACUAUCUUUAAGAUGUUCAAUCUUGAUGUUCAUAGUUGGUAAGACUGAAACCUAUCAUAGCUAUUCACUGAUGAACUAGUCAUUUGGCAUGGCAACCCACCUCCAUUCUGCUAUAUAUUUUGAGAUUACCCCUACAACUUUUGGAAGUGUAGAGCUUUAUGCAAUUUCAUCAUACACUGCGGAGAAAAUGGAAAAUUGAUAAAUUGUAUCGCUGUUUGUACCAUCAAGUUACAUGAUGUUAUUUUCGUAACUUUUCAGGUUUAAUCAUAGGCAUAGUGCUUCUGUGGCCAGAAAACGGAGACAUUGUUGUGCGGCGAGAUGGUGCUGAAAGGGAAGCUGUCGGACAAGGAUGGGGUGUUCUCUUGCAGUGAGGUUUGCGGCCACAAUCUGGCAUGUGGCAAUCAUGCCUGCCGGGAUGUUUGCCACCCAGGGCUGUGCGGGGAGUGCGAGCUUAUGCCAGGGAAGGUCACCACGUGCCAUUGUGGCAAGACAAUGCUGGAGGAGAAGAGGGCUAGCUGCUUGGACCCAAUCGCCACCUGUGACAAGGUAUGCGAAAAGAGAUUGCCGUGUGGAGUGCAUAGGUGCAAGGGCACUUGCCACGAAGGAGAAUGUCCACCGUGCUUGGUGCGUGUCGAGCAGAGGUGCCGCUGCGGCUCAUCAGGCCAGAUGGUGGAGUGCUACAAGGUCUCGAAGGAAGAGUUCCGUUGCAACAAGCCUUGUGGCCGCAAGAAGAAUUGCGGGAGGCACAGAUGCAAUGAGUGCUGUUGCCCACUGUCGAAGCCAUUUGCUCAGCAUCAAGGUGACAGCAUGGAUCCCCAUUUCUGCCAGAUACCAUGUGGCAAGAAGCUCCGGUGUGGACAGCAUGGAUGCCAGCAUCUCUGCCACAGCGGUCACUGCGACCCUUGCCGUGAGAUCAUAUUCAGUGAGCUCACUUGUGCGUGUGGCAGGUCAUCUAUUCCGCCACCGCAGCCUUGCGGCACACCAACUCCAUCAUGCCCACACCAGUGCAUUGUCCCUCAGCCUUGCGGGCAUCCAGCUUCGCACCAAUGCCAUUUCGGGGACUGCCCACCUUGUGUUGUGCCAGUAACGAGAGAAUGCGUUGGGGGACAUGUGAUGUUAAGGAACAUCCCUUGUGGUUCAAAGGAUAUCAGAUGCAACCAACCCUGUGGAAAGAACCGUCAAUGUGGACUGCAUGCUUGUGCCAGGCCUUGCCAUCCUCCCCCUUGUGAUCCACUGCCUGCAAAUGGAGAAGCUAGUUCAAGCUCUGGGGGUAAAGUUUCAUGUGGACAAUUAUGUGGUGUCCCAAGGAGGGAAUGCAAGCACACUUGCAACCCCCCAUGCCACCCAUCAUCGCCUUGCCCAGACGUGAGAUGUGAACAUCGUGCGACUAUUACCUGUUCUUGUGGCCGUAUCAGUACAGCUGUGCCCUGCAGCGCUGGUGGAGCUUACAAUGGUGAUAGUACGUUCGAUAUCUCUGUCAUGCAGCAGCUGCCAAUGCCUCUCCAACCAGUGAUAAUCUAAUGGGAAGAGGGUAUCUCUUGGGCAGAGGAAACUCUGUUGUGACGAGGAGUGUGCAAGAGUGGAGCGGAAACGAGUCCUUGCUGAAGCUUUCGACAUUACCCCACCCAAUCUGGACGCAUUGCAUUUUGGUGAUCAAAUGCGUCGGAUUUGCUUUCUGAUCAUUUCAGGCGUGAGCCAAAGUGGGUGCUGGCCAUAGAGGAGAGGUGCAAGUUCCUUGUCCUUGGGAAGACAAGGGGGAAUUCUUCAAGCAACAUUAAGUUCCAUGUCUUCUGUCCCAUGUUGAAUGAUAAGAGAGAUGCUAUCAGGCUUAUUGCAAAUAGGUGGAAGCUUUCUGUCCAGUCAGUUGGUUGGGAGCCAAAGCGUUUUAUUACCGUCCAUGUGACACCCAAGUCUAAGGUUCCUGCUCGUGUUCUGGGCUCCAAGCCUGGUGUCCCUGUCUUGGCGUCCCAUCCUUACUUUGAUCCGAUGGUGGACAUGGAUCCGAGGCUCGUCGUUGCAAUGAUGGACCUGCCAAGGGAUGCUGAUGUUAACUCUCUAGUUUUAAGGUUCGGUGGGGAGUGUGAAUUGGUUUGGCUGAAUGACAAGAAUGCUGUUGCAGUCUUCAGUGAUUCAGCUAGAGCUGCAACGGUGCUGAGGCGGCUUGAUUAUGGGUAUGCUUACCAGGGUGCUGCAAUGUUUUGCCCAAGCAGCAUCACCCAGGCUUCCUUGUCGAGCAAUGUGUGGGUUGGAGCACCGAGAGAUGGAGGAAUGAGCAGUGCCAGUCCAUGCAAGAAGGACUCUCCCUCUGAGCUGAAGCCGAACCCGCCUGCAUUGAUGACAGUGCUUGGUCGUGCCCCAGGGACAAGUGUGCUUGGUAAUGCCCCAGGAUCAGUGUGGAAACCUGCUGUUCAGGUCACGGGCUCAAACCGGUGGAAUGCUCUGGAGUCUGAUGCUGCAACCAGUUUCUGGGACAACCGACAAACGUAAGCCUCCUCUUCGCACUGACACGGGAUCCAGCACUUCCGCUCCUCGCGUUGGCACAGGAUCCAGCGACCUUGGCUCAGUGGUUGGACAUGCGGUUGUACAGCCCAACGACCCGAGUUCAAUUCCUAGAAUUGACAGGUGAUGCACAGGGAGUUUUCUUCCAUUUAUUGAGGAUCAAGUUUGACGUGUGGUGAAACCACUCAUCAAAAAAAAUCUUGAUACUCAUUUAAAAAAUUCUGAGGACCAUGUUUAUCUUGGUACUCAUACUAAAAUGGUUGUAUGCAUCCCUAGUUGGUGCAGGGGCUGGGAAGUGAAAUUCUUCCCAGUUUUAGGAUGAGAGCCUUGGCUCAGUGGUGCACAGGGGUUUUCCUUCAUUUAUUGAGGAUCAAGUUUGAUGUGUGGUGGAACUAUUCAUCAAGAAAUAUCUUGAUACUCAUUUAAAAAAUUCUGAAGACCAUGUUUAUCUUGGUAUUCAUACUAAUAUGGUUGUAUGCAUCCCUAGUUGGUGCAGAGGCCGGAAAGUGAAAUUCUUCCCAUUUUUAUAUCCUCCCAACCCUAGCCGCCUCCCCCUCCCCCUCCCUUCCUCGCCGCCGCCUGAGGCAGCCGCCGGGCAAGCCCGGGGCGCUAAGGAUGGUGGCGGCGGGGCCUAGGCUGCCCUGCCUCUGCGUGGGGAGCCCCGGAUCUGGAACGACGGCUCCAUUGGCGAGGCACGGCAGGCUAGCAGCCGUGUGGGCGGUGGAUAUGGCGUCUCGGCCGCGCGGGCGGCGGGAUUCGGUGGUCGUUGGCGUCCGGCGACGGCUUUUGCGGUGGCCAGUGCGCGCGAUCUGGCGCCUCCCCUCCUCCCCUGUUCGGCGUGCGGGCCAGCCUGGUCGGGCCGUGCUUCCUUGGAUAGCCGGUUUUGUACAGGAGGCGCUGCUGGUGGCGGGGAUCUAGUUCGGGCGAAAUCCCUGGUCGGCCAUGGCCGGCUGCGUCGUCGACGCUUGAUGGCGCCAUUCCCCUCCUUUGAGGCGUCGGUAUGGACUGAUCCCCUCACUUCCCCUUCCCCUAGGUCUCCCGGACGAAAGCCUUUACUUUGUUGGGCGGCGGCGGAGCUCACGGCGCCGUUCCCUUGUUGAAGGCGCCGCUUUGGGAACCUUGGGACUGGGUGGCGCUUGUGGGUGGUGGGCGACGGCGGUGGUGCGGCCCUAUCCUAGCUUGGAUCUCCGUCUGUUGCUUGGAGAUGGACUCGGGUAGGUGAAGGUCGUCGUUUGGUGUCAUGGUGGCGUCGAUGGCGGAGGCACCUGCCAAGGAUGGUACCUCAAUUUGAUCUGAAGAUGAACCAGUGAAAGAUGGCGGCGACGACACAUGUGAGUGCGUCGGACCGGUUUGUGCCCCAAACCCGGUAUGUGGCUCGGUCAGGGUCUCCGGCUUUAGAUGUUAGGCUUAGGUGAGAGGUCUGAUUAUUUGAUCCAGCUUACACCCCUUCAUCAUAUGGAUAGGAGCAACGUCAGAUGUUGCCAAGAUGACGGAUUUAGGCAUAUUGUUGUACUGCUUUGUAAGGUCCUCGAGAUUAAUUAAUAAUAUGGCCGCAUGCAUCUUUCAGAUGCAGAGACCGAGGGUCAUCCUUCUUUUCUAAAAAAACAGAAUCCAGCGCAGAACCAAGCGCCGGGCAAUCUGUGAGCAAGCUGCAGCCUGACGUCGAAGUGGAAGACUGGGAAGAAAUCGUGUGAAUGAUGAGACGAAGGUAGUUUGGUUAAGAUGACUCAUUUUUAUUCAGAUGCCAUUUUUAUUAUCUCUAAUAUAAGGAUGUUAUAUUGAAGCGGUUAUUUUGUCACCUUCGAAGUAGUUCCUGGUCGUUGCCGGUUGCGGCUGUUCAGUUGGGAAGCAUCUUUUGUCAUGAAAAAUAAACAGUGAGUCGUCCUCAGAUUUCCUGCGCUUUUUUAACAUCAGAGUUGGUUGCCUAGCCUAGCUCUUGUCUCAGAU
rnacentral:lncRNA from 1 species